rnacentral:rRNA from 1 species
CCUACGGGUGGCAGCAGUGAGGAAUAUUGGUCAAUGGGCGCGAGCCUGAACCAGCCAAGUAGCGUGAAGGAUGACUGCCCUACGGGUUGUAAACUUCUUUUGUAAAGGAAUAAAGUGAGGCACGUGUGCCUUUUUGUAUGUACUUUAUGAAUAAGGAUCGGCUAACUCCGUGCCAGCAGCCGCGGUAAUACGGAGGAUCCGAGCGUUAUCCGGAUUUAUUGGGGUUAAAGGGAGCGUAGAUGGGUUGUUAAGUCAGUUGUGAAAGUGUGCGGCUCAACCGUAAAAUGGCAAUUGAUACUGGCAGCCUUGAGUACAGUUGAGGUAGGCGGAAUGCGUGGUGUAGCGGUGAAAUGCUUAGAUAUCACGCAGAACUCCGAUUGCGAAGGCAGCUUACUAAACUGCAACUGACAUUGAUGCUCGAAAGUGUGGGUAUCAAACAGGAUUAGAUACCCCGGUAGUC